GUUUCUGUGGGAGUUUCUGGGUGCAGCUGUAGGAGCCAGUGAUGGAAGAAAGGUUUUAUGGGCCACGCAGGCUCCUCGGCACAUCCAGGCUCUUACCCAAGC